UACGUAGGGUGCAGGCGUUAAUCGGAAUUACUGGGCGUAAAGCGUGCGCAGGCGGUUUCUUAAGUCAGAUGUGAAAGCCCCGGGCUUAACCUGGGAACUGCGUUUGAAACUGGGAGACUUGAGUGUGGCAGAGGGGGGUGGAAUUCCACGUGUAGCAGUGAAAUGCGUAGAUAUCGGGAGGAAUACCAGUGGCGAAGGCGGCCUUCUGGACGGAUACUGACGCUGAGGCGCGAAAGCCAGGGGAGCAAACGGG
rnacentral:rRNA from 1 species